rnacentral:rRNA from 1 species
AGAGUGCGUAAUAGCUCACUGGUCGAGUGAAGUUGCGCGGAAAAUUACCGGGGCUAAGUUAUACACCGAAAUUGCGGAUUCAUUAAGAAAUUAAUGAGUGGUAGAGGAGCGUUCUAUACAGGAUGAAGUAUGAUCGAGAGGACAUAUGGACAGUAUAGAAGAGAGAAUGCCGGAAUGAGUAGCGAGAGCAAAGUGAGAAUCUUUGCCGUCGAAAAUCUAAGGUUUCCUGGGGAAGGUUCGUCCGCCCAGGGUAAGUCGGGACCUAAGGUGAGGCCGAAGGGCGUAGCCGAUGGACAGCAGGUUAAGAUUCCUGCACCAGUAUACAUGUAUAAUGCAUAAGAGGACACAUUUGAAGAAGAUGAGCGAGGAAGAGGAAAAACUCGUAUGGCAACAUAUAGUGAAAUUAAGUAACGAAUCAUCAAGAGGCAAGUGGCGAGAAAAGUCUUAUGUAGUUGUGUAGACUGCCCGUACCGCAAACCGACACAGGUAGAUGAGGAGAGGAUCCUAAGACGAGCGGGAGAAGCAUUGUUAAGGAACUCGGCAAAUUGACCCCGUAACUUAGGGAUAAGGGGUGCUGGUGUAAAAGCCAGUCGCAGUAAAUAGGCCCAAGCAACUGUUUAACAAAAACACAGGUUUCUGCUAAAUCGCAAGAUGAAGUAUAGGAGCUGACUCCUGCCCAGUGCUGGAAGGUUAAGGGGAAAGGUUAAGAAUAAUUCAUUAUAUCUGAAGCUUUGAACUCAAGCCCCAGUGAACGGCGGCCGUAACUAUAACGGUCCUAAGGUAGCGAAAUUCCUUGUCAGGUAAGUUCUGACCCGCACGAAAGGAGUAAUGAUUUGGGCACUGUCUCAACAAUGUACCCGGCGAAAUUGUAGUACUAGUGAAGAUGCUAGUUACCUGCGACAAGACGGAAAGACCCCAUGGAGCUUUACUAUAGCCUGAUAUUGGGCUUUGGUAUCUUAUGUACAGGAUAGGUGGGAGACUAUGAGAUUAAGACGCAAGUCUUAAAGGAGUCAACCUUGGAAUACCACCCUUAAGAUAUUAGAGUUCUAACUUGUGAUCAUAAACUGGUCAGAGGACAUUGUCAGGUGGGUAGUUUGACUGGGGCGGUCACCUCCUAAAGAGUAACGGAGGUGCGCAAAGGUUUCCUCGGCACGGUCAGAAAUCGUGCUAAUGAGUGUAAAGGCAUAAGGAAGCUUAACUGAGAGAGAGACAUCUCGACCAGAUACGAAAGUAGGUCUUAGUGAUCCGGUGGUAGAAAAUGGAAUUGCCAUCGCUCAACGGAUAAAAGUUACCCUGGGGAUAACAGGCUUAUCUCCCCCAAGAGUUCACAUCGACGGGGAGGUUUGGCACCUCGAUGUCGGCUCAUCGCAUCCUGGAGCGGAAGUACGUUCCAAGGGUUGGGCUGUUCGCCCAUUAAAGCGGUACGCGAGCUGGGUUCAGAACGUCGUGAGACAGUUCGGUCCCUAUCUGUCGCAGGCGCAGGAUAUUUGAAAGGAGCUGUCCUUAGUACGAGAGGACCAGGAUGGACAUACCAAUGGUGCAACAGUUGUCACACCAGUGGCACAGCUGUGUAGCUAAGUAUGGAAGGGAUAAACGCUGAAAGCAUCUAAGCGUGAAGCCCCCCUUAAGAUAAGAUAUCCCACAACGUCAAGUUGG